UACGUAGGGGGCUAGCGUUGUCCGGAAUCAUUGGGCGUAAAGAGCGUGUAGGCGGUCCGGUAAGUCCGCUGUGAAAGUCGGGGGCUCAACCCUCGAAUGCCGGUGGAUACUGUCGGGCUAGAGUACGGAAGAGGCGAGUGGAAUCCUGGUGUAGCGGUGAAAUGCGCAGAUAUCAGGAGGAACACCUAUUGCGAAGGCAGCUCGCUGGGACGUAACUGACGCUGGAGACGCGAAAGCGUGGGGAGCAAACAGG
rnacentral:rRNA from 1 species